GUUUAAUCCUUAUAAUUCUGAAGCCAAAUUGUCUCAAUUUCUAUUAACAUUUUCUGUGUAAAGGUUAGUAUAAUCGCCAUCACAUGUACAACUGACAGGUCGUUACUAAGGAGUUGGUCGCCAUAAUGACUUUCUAAUGUUCAUAAAUGUUCGAUAAAUGCAACGGAAUUUAAAAUAAAAUAACACCUACCUCUAAAACUUCAUUUUAAUGAGAUAUUAUCAGAAUUUGAAGCGCACACGUAACGAAAUAAUCUUUCCCCUAGAAGUUUUCAUUCGUAUGACGUCGUGUUUUGCCAUGACGUAAAUUCGCCAAAUCCUUCAUGGAAUUUCGCGGAAUUUAUUUAGAUUUUAUUUUUAUACAUUUUCGAAGCUAUAGUGGAUUUUUUUUUUUU
rnacentral:lncRNA from 1 species